GGGGUAGAGCACUGUUUCGGCUAGGGGGCCAUCCCGGCUUACCAACCCGAUGCAAACUGCGAAUACCGGAGAAUGUUAUCACGGGAGACACACGGCGGGUGCUAACGUCCGUCGUGAAGAGGGAAACAACCCAGACCGCCAGCUAAGGUCCCAAAGUCAUGGUUAAGUGGGAAACGAUGUGGGAAGGCCCAGACAGCCAGGAUGUUGGCUUAGAAGCAGCCAUCAUUUAAAGAAAGCGUAAUAGCUCACUGGUCGAGUCGGCCUGCGCGGAAGAUGUAACGGGGCUAAACCAUGCACCGAAGCUGCGGCAGCGACACUGUGUGUUGUUGGGUAGGGGAGCGUUCUGUAAGCCUGUGAAGGUGUGUCGUGAGGCAUGCUGGAGGUAUCAGAAGUGCGAAUGCUGACAUAAGUAACGAUAAAGCGGGUGAAAAGCCCGCUCGCCGGAAGACCAAGGGUUCCUGUCCAACGUUAAUCGGGGCAGGGUGAGUCGACCCCUAAGGCGAGGCCGAAAGGCGUAGUCGAUGGGAAACGGGUUAAUAUUCCCGUACUUGGUGUUACUGCGAAGGGGGGACGGAGAAGGCUAUGUUGGCCGGGCGACGGUUGUCCCGGUUUAAGCGUGUAGGUGUGUGUUCCAGGUAAAUCCGGUUCACUUUAACACUGAGGCGUGACGACGAGGCACUACGGUGCUGAAGCAACAAAUGCCCUGCUUCCAGGAAAAGCCUCUAAGCAUCAGGUAACAUCAAAUCGUACCCCAAACCGACACAGGUGGUCAGGUAGAGAAUACCAAGGCGCUUGAGAGAACUCGGGUGAAGGAACUAGGCAAAAUGGUGCCGUAACUUCGGGAGAAGGCACGCUGACACGUAGGUGAAGUGAUUUACUCAUGGAGCUGAAGUCAGUCGAAGAUACCAGCUGGCUGCAACUGUUUAUUAAAAACACAGCACUGUGCAAACACGAAAGUGGACGUAUACGGUGUGACGCCUGCCCGGUGCCGGAAGGUUAAUUGAUGGGGUCAGCGCAAGCGAAGCUCCUGAUCGAAGCCCCGGUAAACGGCGGCCGUAACUAUAACGGUCCUAAGGUAGCGAAAUUCCUUGUCGGGUAAGUUCCGACCUGCACGAAUGGCGUAAUGAUGGCCAGGCUGUCUCCACCCGAGACUCAGUGAAAUUGAACUCGCUGUGAAGAUGCAGUGUACCCGCGGCAAGACGGAAAGACCCCGUGAACCUUUACUAUAGCUUGACACUGAACAUUGAGCCUUGAUGUGUAGGAUAGGUGGGAGGCUUUGAAGUGUGGACGCCAGUCUGCAUGGAGCCGACCUUGAAAUACCACCCUUUAAUGUUUGAUGUUCUAACGUGGACCCGUUACCCGGGUUGCGGACAGUGUCUGGUGGGUAGUUUGACUGGGGCGGUCUCCUCCUAAAGAGUAACGGAGGAGCACGAAGG
rnacentral:rRNA from 1 species